rnacentral:rRNA from 1 species
AGAGUUUGAUCCUGGCUCAGAACGAACGCUGGCGGCGUGGAUUAGGCAUGCAAGUCGAACGAGAAUUCGUCUGACCGCAAGGAAGGACGGAGGACAGUGGCAAGGGUGAGGAACACGUGGGCAAUCUGCCCUCAAGUUGGGAAUAACCUCGCGAAAGUGGGGGUAAUACCGAAUGUGGUCACCUCGGGCAUCCGAGGUUGUCUAAAGGCGGGGAACCGAAAGGACCUGUCGCUUGAGGAUGGGCCCGCGUCCCAUCAGCUAGUUGGUGAGGCAAAGGCCCACCAAGGCUUAACGGGUAGCUGGUCUGAGAGGAUGGUCAGCCACACUGGGACUGAGAAACUGCCCAGACUCCUACGGGAGGCUGCAGUCGAGGAUCAUUCGCAAUGCGCGAAAGCGUGACGAUGCGACGCCGCGUGCAGGAUGAAGGCCUUCGGGUUGUAAACUGCUGUCAUGUGGGAUCAAGGGCCUCGGUGCUAAUACCACCGGGGAGUGAUAGUACUACAGGAGGAAGCCACGGCUAACUCUGUGCCAGCAGCCGCGGUAAUACAGAGGUGGCGAGCGUUGUUCGGAUUUACUGGGCGUAAAGGGUGCGUAGGCGGUACUGCGUGUCGAAUGUGAAAGCCCAUCGUCUAUCGAUGGAACUGCAUUCGAAACUGCAGAGCUAGAGUACAGAAGAGGGAAGCGGAAUUCUUGGUGUAGCGGUGAAAUGCGUAGAUGUCAAGAGGAACACCGGUGGCGAAGGCGGCUUCCUGGUAUGAUACUGACGCUGAGGCACGAAAGCUGGGGGAGCAAACAGGAUUAGAUACCCUGGUAGUCCCAGCCCUAAACGGUGUGCACUUGGUGUGGUCGGGUUUGUCCCCGACCGUGUCGGAGCUAACGCGUUAAGUGCACCGCCUGGGGAGUACGGUCGCAAGGCUAAAACUCAAAGGAAUUGACGGGGGCCCGCACAAGCGGUGGAGCAUGUGGCUUAAUUCGAUGCAACGCGAAGAACCUUACCAGGGCUUGACAUGUAACUGCAAGCUUAGCGAAAGCUAGGUGCCUUCGAGGGUGUUACAUAGGUGCUGCAUGGCUGUCGUCAGCUCGUGCCGUGAGGUGUUGGGUUAAGUCCCGCAACGAGCGCAACCCUUGUGAUUAUUUGCCAAAUCGGGAAACCGAUCGAACUUUAAUCAGACUGCCUGUGAUAAACAGGAGGAAGGUGGGGAUGACGUCAAGUCAGUAUGGUCCUUAUGUCCUGGGCUGCACACGUGCUACAAUGGACAGUACAGAGGGAGGCAAGACCGCGAGGUGGAGCGAAUCCUAAAAACUGUCCUCAGUUCGGAUUGAAGUCUGCAACUCGACUUCAUGAAGCCGGAAUCGCUAGUAAAGGCGUAUCAGCUACGACGCCUUGAAUACGUUCUCGGGCCUUGUACACACCGCCCGUCACAUCAUGAAAGCCGACUGCACCCGAAGUCGCUGGUCGAACUCGCAAGAGUAGAAGGCGCCUAAGGUGUGGUUGGUGAUUGGGAUGAAGUCGUAACAAGGUA